rnacentral:rRNA from 1 species
UACUAGAGUAGCACUCGCAUAUCAAUAAGCGGAGGAAAAGAAACUAACAAGGAUUCCCCUAGUAACGGCGAGUGAAGCGGGAAGAGCUCAAAUUUGAAAUCUUAAAGGGUUUCCCUUUACGAAUUGUAGUUUAAAGAAGUGUUUUCUGUUGAGGUUUUGGUUAAAAGUUCUUUGGAAUAGGACAUCAUAGAGGGUGAGAAUCCCGUAUUUGACCUUUACUUUCAACUUUGUGAUACACUUUCAAAGAGUCGGAUUGUUUGGGAAUGCAGUCCAAAAUGGGUGGUAAAUUUCAUCUAAAGCUAAAUAUUGGCGAGAGACCGAUAGCGAACAAGUACCGUGAGGGAAAGAUGAAAAGAACUUUGAAAAGAGAGUUAAACAGUACGUGAAAUUGUCAAAAGGGAAGCGUUUGACACCAGUGUUGUUUUUCUGAAAAUCAAUUAAAGAACUGUUUAUGCUAAGUUGUUUAGACUUUAUCAGCUAUCUGUUUAGUUUUGAGCUUUUCUUUAAUGCACUUUUCAGUUAACAAGUCAACAUCAAUUUCUUUUGCUGUAAAAAAGCUUGAGGAAGGUGGCUUGAGAUUCGUCUUAAGUGUUUAUAGCCUCUUGCCUAUGCAGUCGGAGAGAUUGAGGUCUGCAGCGUAGAUCCUUCGGGGCUGAAUGCAUUUGUGCUAAGUUAUAGCAUUUUAUAGACAACUUGUUGACUAUGAUUUGUCUUGUAGCUUACUCGCUUAUGUUAUUUUACCUACGCUUAGGAUGUUGAACUCUAUCACACACAG